AUGGACACACAGGGUUCUAAUUGUAGAGACGGUUAGAUGUUCUUUAGCGGAAGCACCGGAAAAAGUCACGACUGUACACACGUGUCACUGCCUAAACUGAAUUGUGAUAUGAUUAAUCGUGCAACACAAAUCUGAACUGUAUUUAGGUUAAACAGUAAAAAAUUAUAAAGGCCUUUUUUAGGUGGAAUAAAUCUGUAAAUAAAAAAUUCAACUGAAUGAACCUGUGAAUGUCAGUCACUCAAAUUUCAUCACUCAUAAAACCUUUUAAUAAAGUACAGAACAAUCUGAGGUGUUUUUCCCGUACAGUUCAUCUUACUAAUAAACAGCUUAACGAAGGACAAACGUCACAUCCUGUUUCGUGAGUGAUUCCCGAAACUCUUCAUUAUCAGACAUUUUCCAAUUGGAUUCAGGGAGAAUUCACACAAGUCAAACACUUCAUUCAGUCUGGAGCUUCUCUCCAGACGGAUGUCGAGCUGAUUUUUAUGUCCAGGGGCAAAAAUGUUUCCAUGAGAAUGAAGCAGUGGUGAAGCAGCAGAUCUGCCCUGCGACACACACUCAUAAUGUCUACGGCAAGAAACACACAGCUGGUCUCAUACAGAGACAGUAAGAGGAACAAGAGGAACAUCUGAGUCGAGGUUUUCACUAAACAGGUUGCCAUGGUUACUGCUGGUAGGACGGAUGCCGUUGCUCUGAAUUCUCCUGGAAGCUGAUGAUCAACGCUUUGCUCCGGUGGGAUUCCUGUGGCUUCAGCUUUCAUAAAAAACAUGUUGAGUAAUAACGGCUCACUCGCUGUAACCUGGCCUCAGUGGGCCUCUGACUCGCAGGAAAAACACUGGACUAACUUCUUUAUUUUUUAUUGUUAAUCUGCUGUUACUGUCAAUCAACCUGCAGCAUCACAGACCUGAUGCCUCAAAAUGACCAAUUCAUUUAUUAUAUAAUAAAUAAUCUCUCUUUCUGAUGCAGUAAAGAACACACACAUUGAUUUAUUAUAAAAUACAAAUAAAAUAAACAUAUUUACACUUGAAUAUAUUCUAAUUUUUUUU